UAGGGAAUCUUCGGCAAUGGGGGGAACCCUGACCGAGCAACGCCGCGUGAGUGAAGAAGGUUUUCGGAUCGUAAAGCUCUGUUGUUAAGGAAGAACGAGUGUGAGAAUGGAAAGUUCAUACUGUGACGGUACCUAAUCAGAAAGCCACGGCUAACUACGUGCCAGCAGCCGCGGUAAUACGUAGGUGGCAAGCGUUAUCCGGAAUUAUUGGGCGUAAAGCGCGCGUAGGCGGUUUUUUAAGUCUGAUGUGAAAGCCCACGGCUCAACCGUGGAGGGUCAUUGGAAACUGGAAAACUUGAGGGCAGAAGAGGAAAGUGGAAUUCCAUGUGUAGCGGUGAAAUGCGCAGAGAUAUGGAGGAACACCAGUGGCGAAGGCGACUUUCUGGUCUGUAACUGACGCUGAUGUGCGAAAGCGUGGGGAUCAAACAGG
rnacentral:rRNA from 1 species